AGUGAACGCUGGCGGUAGGCCUAACACAUGCAAGUCGAACGGCAGCACAGGAGAGCUUGCUCUCUGGGUGGCGAGUGGCGGACGGGUGAGGAAUACAUCGGAAUCUACUCUGUCGUGGGGGAUGACGUAGGGAAACUUACGCUAAUACCGCAUACGACCUACGGGUGAAAGCAGGGGACCUUCGGGCCUUGCGCGAUUGAAUGAGCCGAUGUCGGAUUAGCUAGUUGGCGGGGUAAAGGCCCACCAAGGCGACGAUCCGUAGCUGGUCUGAGAGGAUGAUCAGCCACACUGGAACUGAGACACGGUCCAGAAUCCUACGGGAGGCAGCAGUGGGGAAUAUUGGACAAUGGGCGCAAGCCUGAUCCAGCCAUACCGCGUGGGUGAAGAAGGCCUUCGGGUUGUAAAGCCCUUUUGUUGGGAAAGAAAUCCAGCUGGCUAAUACCCGGUUGGGAUGACGGUACCCAAAGAAUAAGCACCGGCUAACUUCGUGCCAGCCGCCGCAGUAA
rnacentral:rRNA from 1 species